rnacentral:rRNA from 1 species
GACGAACGCUGGCGGCGUGCUUAACACAUGCAAGUGGAGCGACGAACCAGGGCUUGCCCUGGGGCAGAGCCGCGAACGGGUGAGUAACACGUGGGGUAACGUGCCCCGAUGAUCGGGACAACCCGGGAAACCCGGGCUAAUACCGAAUGUGCUCCCCUCACACCAGUGAGGGAUGGAAAGGAAGCUUCGGCCUCCGCAUCGGGAUCGGCCCGCGGCCCACUUAGCUUGUUGGUGAGGUAACGGCUCACCAAGGCUGCGAUGGGUAGCUGGUCUGAGAGGACGAUCAGCCACACUGGGACUGAGACACGG